AACGCUAGCUACAGGCUUAACACAUGCAAGUCGAGGGGCAGCAUUGGAGUAGCAAUACUUCAGAUGGCGACCGGCGCACGGGUGAGUAACACGUAUCCAACCUGCCGCUUGCUCGGGGAUAGCCUUUCGAAAGAAAGAUUAAUACCCGAUGGUAUAAAGAGUUCGCAUGUUCUCUUUAUUAAAGAAUUUCGGUAAGCGAUGGGGAUGCGUUCCAUUAGAUAGUAGGCGGGGUAACGGCCCACCUAGUCGACGAUGGAUAGGGGUUCUGAGAGGAAGGUCCCCCACAUUGGAACUGAGACACGGUCCAAACUCCUACGGGAGGCAGCAGUGAGGAAUAUUGGUCAAUGGGCGCGAGCCUGAACCAGCCAAGUAGCGUGAAGGAUGAAGGUCCUACGGAUUGUAAACUUCUUUUAUAAGGGAAUAAAGUCACCCACGUGUGGGUGUUUGUAUGUACCUUAUGAAUAAGCAUCGGCUAACUCCGUGCCAGCAGCCGCGGUAAUACGGAGGAUGCGAGCGUUAUCCGGAUUUAUUGGGUUUAAAGGGAGCGUAGACGGGUCGUUAAGUCAGCUGUGAAAGUUUGAGGCUCAACCUUAAAAUUGCAGUUGAUACUGGCGUUCUUGAGUGCAGUUGAGGUGUGCGGAAUUCGUGGUGUAGCGGUGAAAUGCCUAGAUAUCACGAAGAACUCCGAUUG
rnacentral:rRNA from 1 species